GGCCGCGGGAAUUCGAUUUUGGAGGGCAAGUCUGGUGCCAGCAGCCGCGGUAAUUCCAGCUCCAAUAGCGUAUAUUAAAGUUGUUGCAGUUAAAAAGCUCGUAGUUGAAUUUUAGGCCUGGCCGGACGGUCCGUCUCUGGCGAGUACUGUUCUGUCGUCGGGUCUAUCCUUCUGGUGAGCCGGUAUGUUCUUAAUUGGGCGUGUCGGGGAACCAGGACCAUUACCUUGAAAAAAUUAGAGUGUUUAAAGCAGGCUUUUGCUUGAAUAGAUUAGCAUGGAAUAAUAGAAUAGGACGUGUGGUUCUAUUUUGUUGGUUUCUAGGACCGCCGUAAUGAUUAAUAGGGACAGUCGGGGGCAUCAGUAUUCAAUUGUCAGAGGUGAAAUUCUUGGAUUUAUUGAAGACUAACUACUGCGAAAGCAUUUGCCAAGGAUGUUUUCAUUAAUCAGGAACGAAAGUUAGGGGAUCGAAGACGAUCAGAUACCGUCGUAGUCUUAACCAUAAACUAUGCCGACUAGGGAUCGGACGAUGUUACAUUUUUGACGCGUUCGGCGCCUUACGGGAAACAAUCACUAGUGAAUUCG
rnacentral:rRNA from 1 species